AUGUGCCUGGCUCCCUGUAUGCCAUUUGCAGAGCCCAUUGAACUUCGAUAGCCUCCGUGAAUGGCGUAUGAGGAGCCAUGCAUGU
rfam:Gossypium raimondii Chr09_contig_649, whole genome shotgun sequence.